GAACGCUACGGCAGGCUUAACACAUGCAAGUCGAGGGGCAGCAUACCCGGUGACGGGUGAUGGCGACCGGCGUAAGGGUGAGUAACGCGUGAGCAACAUACCCGUAUCAGUGGGAUAAUACAGGGAAACUUGUUCUAAUAUCACAUAAUAUUAUACAGAGGCAUCUUUGUAUAAUUAAAGUUCAGGCGGAUACGGAAUGGCUCGCGUGACAUUAGCUAGAUGGUAGGGUAAAGGCCUACCAUGGCUAUGAUGUCUAGGGGUUCUGAGAGGGAGGUCCCCCACACUGGAACUGAGACACGGUCCAGACUCCUACGGGAGGCAGCAGUGAGGAAUAUUGGACAAUGGAUGAAAAUCUGAUCCAGCCAUGCCGCGUGCAGGAAGGCGGCCCUAUGGGUUGUAAACUGCUUUUGUACGGGAGCAAUAAGGUCUACGAGUAGAUUGAUGAGAGUACUGUACGAAUAAGCAUCGGCUAACUCCGUG
rnacentral:rRNA from 1 species